UGGGGAAUAUUGCACAAUGGGCGCAAGCCUGAUGCAGCCAUGCCGCGUGUGUGAAGAAGGCCUUCGGGUUGUAAAGCACUUUCAGCGGGGAGGAAGGCGAUAAGGUUAAUAACCUUGUCGAUUGACGUUACCGACAGAAGAAGCACCGGCUAACUCCGUGCCAGCAGCCGCGGUAAUACGGAGGGUGCAAGCGUUAAUCGGAAUUACUGGGCGUAAAGCGCACGCAGGCGGUUGAUUGAGUCAGAUGUGAAAUCCCCGGGCUUAACCCGGGAAUUGCAUCUGCUACUGGUCAGCUAGAGUCUUGUAGAGGGGGGUAGAAUUCCAUGUGUAGCGGUGAAAUGCGUAGAGAUGUGGAGGAAUACCGGUGGCGAAGGCGGCCCCCUGGACAAAGACUGACGCUCAGGUGCGAAAGCGUGGGGAGCAAACAGG
rnacentral:rRNA from 1 species